rnacentral:lncRNA from 1 species
CUAAGGCAGAGCUGGCUAGUUGCUCCCCUAACUGGGUGGCAUGCUGAAGUGGGUUUAGGAAAAAGCAGCAUUCAGUUUUUGUCACACAGCUCCAUAUUUGUCAGAUGAGAACCUCUUUUGCUCUCUCUGCACUGGGAGCACAUGCGACCUAAUGUGCUGACCAGAGCCUGUAGCCAGAUGUCUUGAGACAGGAGAGGGAACUGGGGUAAAGACCCCCCCAGGAAAGCGCCUCAGAAGGCAUAGGAUGGGAAAGGGUAGCAGGGGGAUUCAGAGCCUCAGAAAGCAGAGAAUCAGAUCCAUUGCUGAUAGCAAUCUUGCACUCCAAAAGGCAUGACCAAGAUACAGCCUAAAGCAGCCUGGCCAUCAUGGUGCCCCACACAUUGUGUUGUGCUUUUGGAACAUUCUUGUCUUCAGUUGGUCCUGAGAACCUGGGGCUGGUGGCUGAUCAGUAAGAGCCAUUCCCAGGUUUCAGGUAGUGAAAUUGUCUCCACCUUAAGUCAGGUUCCUUAGGCCAAACCCCAUGCCAUUCACGACACAGUCACUUCUCUACCUGACCACAGGGACAUGGCACAGGUCCUUUCUCCUGAAGGUCAAGGCUUCCCAUGACUCAAGAAAGGAGGGCUGCUCCCCAGAGUUGUAGCAGAGUCCAGAACUCUUCCUGCAGUUGGCAGAUGGUCACAGCAACUACAGGCCAGAUUUAUGUCACUGAGGAUCUGUCCUCCUCCUAAGUAAACUCCCUGGUCACUGGAUCAGAGUACGGGAAAGAGCUUGUGCUGUGGAAGACUGGGCACAUUGCUGUGAUGUGAGGUGACAAUUACAUGAGGCACUUGGGAAGAGACUAGUGAUGUGGCAGGAUAUAUGUAUGAAGACACGAGCACACAUGCUGAGUGUUCACAUGUAGCUGUAAGUUCAUUUGUGCAUGCGAUUGCAUGAUUCGGGUGAAUGUAGAGCACAUAGAUCUGUGUAUGUGUAAUUCUCAUGUAUGCACAGACAAGAGCUUGCUGUACAUGUGUACAUGCAUGUACACAUUUACCAAGGGCCUUCCCCCACCGUUGUGGCUCCUGCCCAGGUUCCAUGCAUGCGUGCUUCAGCUUCCCUUUGACCAGCAUGUUAGGAAGAACCCCGCAUUCUUUUUGAGCAUCAUCUCCAACAUAGCAUCCUGCUGCUACUCCAUCCUGAAGGUCAAGAAUGCAGGAAUGACACUAAAGGCCAAGGGUGCCUCUGGCUCAUUUCCUCCUGAAGCUGCACGUUGGCUCUGCUACCGAGCCUUCCUGCUCAAGCUGGCUGGUCAUUCUGUCACCUACAAGUGUCUCCUGGGACCACUCAGGACAGGUAAAUGAGCUCCCUCCAAAUAGCCCCAAAAAUCUAUCCUUGGACACCAAGUGCCUAGCCCAUCUCCAUUUGCCUGAGGAGGAGCCCACUCAGGCAGCUCUGGGUGAGUGAAGCUAGGCUUCUAGACCACAACUUCCUACUUCUGCCUUCCUGCUCCCUCUGAUCUCUCCCUGGUCC